AUUGAACGCUGGCGGCAGGCCUAACACAUGCAAGUCGAGCGGCAGCGGAAAGUAGCUUGCUACUUUGCCGGCGAGCGGCGGACGGGUGAGUAAUGUCGGGGAAACUGCCUGAUGGAGGGGGAUAACUACUGGAAACGGUAGCUAAUACCGCAUAACGUCGCAAGACCAAAGAGGGGGACCUUCGGGCCUCUUGCCAUCAGAUGUGCCCAGAUGGGAUUAGCUAGUAGGUGGGGUAACGGCUCACCUAGGCGACGAUCCCUAGCUGGUCUGAGAGGAUGACCAGCCACACUGGAACUGAGACACGGUCCAGACUCCUACGGGAGGCAGCAGUGGGGAAUAUUGCACAAUGGGCGCAAGCCUGAUGCAGCCAUGCCGCGUGUAUGAAGAAGGCCUUCGGGUUGUAAAGUACUUUCAGCGGGGAGGAAGGUGCUGAGGUUAAUAACCUCAGCAAUUGACGUUACCCGCGGAAGAAGCACCGGCUAACUCCGUGCCAGCCGCCGCUGUAACAC
rnacentral:rRNA from 1 species